UGGGGAAUUUUGGACAAUGGGCGCAAGCCUGAUCCAGCAAUGCCGCGUGCAGGAAGAAGGCCUUCGGGUUGUAAACUGCUUUUGUACGGAGCGAAAAGGCUCUCUCUAAUACAGGGGGCUCAUGACGGUACCGUAAGAAUAAGCACCGGCUAACUACGUGCCAGCAGCCCGCGGUAAUACAA
rnacentral:rRNA from 1 species